UACAUGGGGUGCAAACGUUGCUCGGAAUUAUUGGGCGUAAAGCGCACGUAGGUGGUCUGUUAUGUCAGAUGUGAAAGCCCUCGGCUUAACUGAGGAAGUGCACCUGAAACUGGCAGGCUUGAGUACGAAAGAGGGUCGCGGAAUUCCCGGUGUAGAGGUGAAAUUCGUAGAUAUUGGGAAGAACACCGGUGGCGAAGGCGGCUCACUGGCUCGUAACUGACGCUCAUGCACGACAGCGUGGGGAUCAAACAGG
rnacentral:rRNA from 1 species